rnacentral:rRNA from 1 species
CCUGAUGCCGCGACGCCGCGUGAGGGAUGACGGCUUUCGAGUUGUAAACCUCUUUUCUCAGGGAAGAGAGAGGACAUCCCCUGAGGAAUAAGUCAUGGCUAACUACUUGCCAGAAACACCGGUAAUACUUAGGUGGCAAGCGUUAUCCGGAAUUACUGGGCGUAAAGGGUCCGUAAGCGGUUUGGUAAGUCUUCUGUGAAAGCUCCCGGCUCAACUUGGAGUCGUCCGGCGAAACUGCUGAACUAAAGACUGUCAGAGGCAGGUGGAAUUCCCGGUGUAGUGGUGAAAUACGUUAAUAUCGGGAGGAACACCAGUGGCAAAGCGGCCUGCUGGGGCCGUUCUGACCCUAAGGGACUAAAGCGUGGGGAGCCAACCGGAUUAAAUACCC